GACGAACGCUGGCGGCGUGCUUAACACAUGCAAGUCGAACGGAAAGGCCCUGCUUGCAGGGUACUCGAGUGGCGAACGGGUGAGUAACACGUGGGUGAUCUGCCCUGCACUUCGGGAUAAGCCUGGGAAACUGGGUCUAAUACCGGAUAGGAGCCAUUUUUAGUGUGAUGGUUGGAAAGUUUUUUCGGUGUAGGAUGAGCUCGCGGCCUAUCAGCUUGUUGGUGGGGUAAUGGCCUACCAAGGCGGCGACGGGUAGCCGGCCUGAGAGGGUGGACGGCCACAUUGGGACCUAGGUGAGGCCCAGGCUCCUACGGGAGGGAGCAGUGGGGAAGAUUGCACAAUGGGCGCCAGGCUGAUGCAGCGGCGCCGCGUGGGGGAUGACGGCCUUCGGGUUGUAAACUCCUUUCGCUAGGGACGAAGCUUUUUGUGACGGUACCUAGAUAAGAAGCACCGGCUAACUACGUG
rnacentral:rRNA from 1 species